CAGCCGCCGCGGGAAUACGAAGGGGGCUAGCGUUGUUCGGAUUUACUGGGCGUAAAGCGCACGUAGGCGGAUCGAUCAGUCAGGGGUGAAAUCCUGGAGCUCAACUCCAGAACUGCCUUUGAUACUGUCGAUCUCGAGUCCGGAAGAGGUGAGUGGAACUCCUAGUGUAGAGGUGGAAUUCGUAGAUAUUAGGAAGAACACCAGUGGCGAAGGCGGCUCACUGGUCCGGUACUGACGCUGAGGUGCGAAAGCGUGGGGAGCAAACAGGAUUAGAUACCCCUGUAGUCCCUGUCUCUUAUAA
rnacentral:rRNA from 1 species